CUUUUACCCCCUGGGGGUGGCCUCACUUCCUCUGGGGGCUCUGACAGCUCUCUGGCCUGUCUUCAGCUUAGAAAUCUGCAAAAGUCAUUGGCCAGGCUCAGGAGAACUAAUCCUUUGUGCCAGAGGUCCAAAGAUAGACAACUAACUCAAAAUUGUAUCUUCGCUUUAAUCACUGCUCUGGUGAUAUUUGCAUUAAUGAAAGAGAAAAGAAAGCAUCCCCAACAGAUGGAAAAGGCGGCUCUCUGACUAGUGAAAGAACAACUUCCAGUAAAAGAAGGCACUGAGGUUUAAGUGCUACGUGGGAGCAGUUGCCGAUUUUUGCAAUGGGAGGCUGCAUAGAUUCAAGUGUGAGAAUUCGAAGAGAUUCAAAGACUAUAUCACCACCAUGGUCUUGCCAGAAUCUGCCCUCUGAGUCAUUUCUUAAUCUACUGAUUAUCUGUAGAACCAGCCUUAUAUAAACAAGGAAGCAUCUAGCAGACACCUGCUGAUGGCUCACUGUGUGCCAAGUGCUGUGCUGGGCACCAGGCAUAUUGAACGGGUCCUGGUUACUGCCCUCUGGUGCUUACGCUCCAUCAAGAGAAGUAGACAGGAAGCAUCUAAUCACAGACAGAAGUUUCAUACUUAUCAGGGUGAUGUGUGCUAUCAAGAGUCAAAGGAUGUGAUGAGAGCAGGCAACAGAAGUGACAUUUGAGCUGAAACUAAGGACAAAUAGGAGAAAAGUCGGCAAAAAGAUAAGGGAGAGAGAAAUAGGGAAAAAAAGCGAUCAAAUGCCAGAAAUGGGGCUGAAAAGAUGUAGAAGUGGUUUCUAAGCAUGGGUUUAUCAUCUCUUUUCUCAUCUUUGCAUCAACUACAUGAGUUUUUCCAAGCGUGGUCUGUGAGUCUCUUGCAUCAGAAUUCCCUGGAAGUACAGUCAGUCCUCUGUGUCCACCAGUUCUGCAUCUGCAGAUUCAACCCACUGUGGAUAGAAAAUAUUGGAGGCUGGGUACAGUGGCUCAUGCCUAUAACCCCAGCACUUUGGGAGGCCGAGGUGGGUGGAUUACUUGAGGUCAGGAGUUUGAGACCAGCCUGGCCAAGAUGGUGAAACCCUGUCUGUACUAAAAAAUACAAAAAUUAGCUGGGCAUGGUGGCGCACGUCUGUAAAUCCCAGCUACUCAGGAGACUGAGGCAGGAGAAUCACUUGAACCUGGGAGACGAAGGUUGCUGUGAGCCAAGAUCGUGCCAUUGCACUCUAGCCUGGGCAACAAGAGCAAGACUCUAUCUCAAAAAAAGAAAAAGAAAAUAUUCGGAAAAAAA
ensembl:lncRNA SPRY4-AS1 SPRY4 antisense RNA 1